CUAGUGAUGAUUGGCAUUGCUCCUGGUGCACCUGAGAGGCCACAACUUGUUAAGGGGAACAUGCAACUAUUUUCCGUAGACUAGCAACGUAGUCAAGCUUUAGAAGCACAUGCUGCAGCCUUUGCAACAUUUAAAGUUGCUGGAAAUGAGAAUCCUUCUACUCUUAUUUGCUUUGCAUCAAAGACCAUGAAUGCCGGUCAAUUUAUUUCGAAGUUGCAUGUCAUCGAACUCGGUGCUCAGCCAAGUCAUUGCGUAUUUCAGAAACAGUAGAUGAUGAGAGUAUUAGCGUAUAGGAAGUACCUAGCUAGUGCAUGAAGGCAAUAUGACGUUAGAAGAUUUCCUCACCCCAACUGAGAUGAAAGAUGGACUCACAAACCUUGCUAGAGUCGAAGAGCUGGUUGUUGUUAUUUAUUUAUUUAUAUUCAAAACCAUUUUCAAUUUAUUAUAAUAAAUAUUAUAAUUUUUUUAUUGUCUAGUAAUAUAAAUUUUGUUUAAUAUUCAGUUUUAUUUGUAUGCCAUCAUUUUUAUGUUUCAAAUAUUUAAAAAAUAUAGGUUUCGAUUGAAU